CAUUCAACACAACUAGUAACUUUAUCGGAAUGAUAUACAAAGGACACAUUUUAAUACAACAACACCUACUACAGUAGUGUAUGUGUCUAUAGAGAAUUUUUAGAGUGUGUGUGUAUACAUAUAUUUCCAUAGGAUAUGCUGUGGUAACCGAAUUUGAGGAACUCUUUCAACCUUUUCUGAAUGUUGUGGGGAAGCUGAUACAUCCAAUUAGUUUGACACUCAAGGGUCUAAUGAACCCCAAUGCGCACCAAAUUCGGCAGGCGCCGAAAGCAUAAUGGCUGUAUAAGGACAAUAAUCAAAGGUUUUGUUUGAGCUUUUAACUAAUAAAUCUCGUCCUCCGUGGACCCACCAAAGCUGUUCACUUGUUAUACAAACGUUCGGCGCUUAACAUAUUUAUGCAUGCCUUCCGAAGAGAUGGAUAAUAAGCGAGCGAUUGGAAAAACGAGUAAACGGCGGAAAACUUCAUAUAAUUACCCAGCAACCAAUAGUCGGUAGGAAACGGUACACAGUCUACCAGUCGCCGGUGUAACGACAGCGUAGAAUGCUGUCAUAUAAUUUUUACUGUCUAUUCUUGCCGUAAUCGUACAGUCUAACGCCAGAAGAAUGAGAAUCCAAUCCAUUAACAUGGCUUGAACAAAGCACUGAAGGGGUCCUGAACCGAUGUAACCAAUUCUAAACUGUAAACCUGAGUCGCAAUCCGAACAAUGCAUAUUUAAAUAACAAAAACCGUAACUACUGCCACCAACAUAGAACAUUAAAUACAAAAACAGCAGUAGCAAAAUGACAAUAAAAGCAACAAUGACUUAUAGUUGACCAGAAAGGAAAGCGCCGAAUCGAGGUGCACGGCCAGAGUCAGUUUCGAACAAAUUCAAUCAACAAACACUUGAACCAAACAUCCGACAAUGGUAGUUAGCCCGGGUUAUUUCGAUAUGGCAACAGCGAGAUAGCCAGUCGACGGAAGAACGAACGUGGGUGGAGUCAAGCUAGUAUCGUUAAACAUACGUACAAGGCAAAGAGACAGUCGGCCUCAUUCGGAAGCAGACAAAUAUUGUGAAAACGGGUGCUGUCAGUUAGGAGGAUUACUGGGCGGUCAGAAAAUGUAGCAACAGUCAGAGAAUGUAGCAAGUUUUCAGAAUCAGAAACUUGUAGUGACAACAGCCGACAAUUUUCUCAAUUUUUUUAGUUCCAUAACAGCGCACUGUUCACCGCUUUCAGAAAAAACUCGGGGUGUAAAUUUUUCAAGGCGGAAGAAUUCCGACGAUAUAUGUCCAUUUUUUGAUGUAUCAUUGUGUAGCCAGCAAUCAUGUCCGCACAAAAUUCAGAUAAGGAUCUCCAAGGCCAGCAGAUAUGUAUAUUCAGUGAUUCCUUGUGCUUUUCCCAAUUUUCAAACUGACUCAGAAAUGAGUCAACUAGACAAAGAUGAAUACAUAAAUACAGCCAGAUGACGUUAAUUGUAAGGAUUGAAAACAGUUCCUACAGCAAUAUUGGCGAGUAGAUUACUUGCUUAUUUUAUGACUUUUUUGGAAAAUAAGCGGCUCAUGUAUUUUGCAAGAUAUUUAAAUUUUGAGCAGCGAUUUCUCGAUUAUUUUGUAAAUUUAUUGCACCCCAUAGAAACCCAACUUUUUCGUAGUCGGAAAAACUUGCAGUUGUGCACCCGAUUACUGUAACUUUAUCUAAGUGAUUGGGCUCAACCUUAAAGAAAUGGGAUGGCCUAAAUCAAUCUCUAAUAAGUGGAGUAAAUAUUUUUUUAUCUAAUUUAAAGUGGAAAGUUGGUCUUAAUUAACUUUGAUCGUAGGAUUUUUCCGUUAUAUAAUAAAUAGUCUCCUAAUUAAAGAAAUACACAUAUUUUACAGCCUGUAUUCUUGUAUAUGUACUUAUAUAAUAAUAUAUAUUAAGAUUGAAGUUAACCGACAAUUGGAAAGUUUUACACGCAUUACCCAAUUCCGAACGUCUUUUAUGUAUACCAAGUAUAUACUUAUAUAUUUAGGUCAAACAGUUUAAAACGAAUUUUGAGAAGUCAUAUUUAGAAACACAGAAAGUAGAAACUACAAUUUUAUAUAUGCGCAAACAUAUCUACCUUCUUCAAAUGAACUUAGCUUUCAAAUUAUC